ACACCGGCAGCUCAAGUGGUAGCCGCUUUUAUUGGGCCUAAAGCGUCCGUAGCCGGUCUGAUAAGUCUCUGGUGAAAUCCCACAGCUUAACUGUGGGAAUUGCUGGAGAUACUAUCAUGACUCGAGGUCGGGAGAGGCUGGAGGUACUCCCAGGGUAGGGGUGAAAUCCUGUAAUCCUGGGAGGACCACCUGUGGCGAAGGCGUCCAGCUGGAACGAACCUGACGGUGAGGGACGAAAGCCAGGGGCGCGAACCGGAUUAGAUACCCGGGUAGUCCUGGCCGUAAACGAUGUGGACUUGGUGUUGGGAUGGCUUCGAGCUGCCCCGGUGCCGAAGGGAAGCUGUUAAGUCCACCGCCUGGGAAGUACGGCCGCAAGGCUGAAACUUAAAUGAAUUGGCGGGG
rnacentral:rRNA from 1 species